AACGAACGCUGGCGGCAGGCCUAACACAUGCAAGUCGAACGCCCUAGCAAUAGGGAGUGGACGACGGGUGAGUAACGCGUGGGAAUCUCCGCCUCAGUACGGAAUAGCCCAGGGAAACUAGGAGUAAUAACGUAUACGUCCGUGAGGAGAAAGAUUUAUCGAUGAGGGAUUAGCCCGCGUAGUAUUAGCUAGUUGGUGAGGUAACGGCUCACCAAGGCGACGCUCCUUAGCUGGUCUGAAAGGACGACCGGCCACACUGGGACUGAAACACGGCCCAGACUCCGGCGGGAGGCAGCAGUGGGGAAUAUUGGACAAGGGACCCAAGCCUGAUCCAGCCAUGCCGCGUGAGUGACGAAGGCCUUAGGGUUGUAAAGCUCUUUUGGCGGGGACGAUAAUGACGGUACCCGCAGAAUAAGCCCCGGCUGACUUCGUGCCAGCAGCCGCCGUAAUAC
rnacentral:rRNA from 1 species